UGUUGCCAUGGUGGGUAGUACACUCCGGGAUGUGCAUUAUUAAAGGUUCCUCUUCCUCUGCCAGGCCCAAAGUUUCCUCUGUCGCUGUUGUAACCUCUUCCUCUUUCAUUUCCCCCACACUGCGAACUCACAUACCCCAACUGCCCACAGGUCCAGCAUUGAGUGUUGCUCCAGUCACGAAGGGCUCUGGCGGGGCCACCUCCUCUUCCAGUCCAUGUUUGUGGGUCACCAUAAUGCUGAGUGGUGAAAAGCACAUACCCUGCAGGCACCGGGUUCACAGGUGUGACUGAUGUGACUCUGGGGGAGCUCCAGACUGUGGUUGUGGUGAGCCAGUAGAAUCAACUUGAGCAGCCAUCAUAUUAUCUGCCACCCCCAGCAGUUCAGCUGCAGUCAUAGUAGUCCUCUGCUGUUGUAUUUAAUUCACCGGCUGCACCAGUUCCUACUACACUGGCCAUGAAGGGAGUUACUUUUGAGGAUUCCCAGAUGGAUACAGCUCUCUUUCAGAUCUGCCAUGCACUCCACCACUGCCCGACAACCUCACCCAGAAGUGCAUGCACUGGGCCUAUCAAUACUGACAAAGCAGAGAUGGGUGGCUGACAAGGAAAAGUAAACACAACAUGCACACACAGUCCCUCUCAUCAUCCCCAAUGUAAAUCGAUUGUAAUUACUUAUUUUAUGAAUGCUCCAUUUUAUUUAAGGAUUGGAGAUAUCUACACCUACAUAUCCAUUAUCAAUAUCUAUCUAAUUACGCUAAAUAUAUAUCCAAUCAAAGUGUGAUCGAUAAUAUUGCAUACAACUAUUGCAUAAUUUGUACAGUUUGAGAAAAUUCUGAGUGCUUUUUUCUGAGUUGAAAAACAUGCCUCCUCACACACACACACACAUUAGACCCUAUGUAAAUACAUUGUUUAUUUUAUGUAUGAUCCAUUUUAUUUGAGGAUUGUGCUCAAUAAAAUACACACACAGUUAAAACAGUUUGGUUUAUUAAAUAUUUCUCUGAUUACAAAUUAAUGACCAAAAGGAAGUCGGCAGACCUGCAAACCACAAGGGCGGCAGGCACCCUCGUGCUUAGAGAGUUGGGCCAGUAACCAAAAGCUUGCUAGAUUGAAUCCCCAAACUGACAAGGUAAAAAUCUGUUGUUCUGCCCCUGAACAAGGCAGUUCACCCACUGUUCCUAGGCCAUAAUUGAAAUAAGAAUUUGUUCUAAACUGACUUGCCUAGUUAAAUAAAACAACUCUGGGAAUGUGUGUAGGUUUUGUCAUCUGGAGCUGAAUCAGGGCCCCAACAACCCUCACAUAUGCACAGGGCUCCCAGGAGUGGCAAGCAAAUAUGUUUAUUGUCCUGCAAAGAAAAUAUGUACCAAAGCCAUUCCCUGGCUACCCAUCCACAUCGCUCAGGCCAAACUGACAAUUGUUAUCCAUAAUGAAUGUAUGUAGCGAUACAAUUCAAGGUGAGCCAUCAGGCAACCAAGGCCAAGGAAUGGAGAGAGAUGGCCUGAAGGGAGUUCCAGACCUCAUUUUUUAAUGAAGCAGAAAUGCUCCAUUUUAUUUUAGGAUUGGGGAUAUAUAGGCCUACAGAUUGUGUUAUCUAUUUCCCACAACGGAAAUGUGUAGUUGUGCUUACUCACAGUUGGCGGAGAGGUCAUGGUUAGGAGAGAUGGUGGCUGACAAUGAAAAAUAAAAUACAACAUGCACACACUCUUACUCUCUCUCUGCCACACAAGUCUGUGUCCUUGUGUCUGUUACAAAACUUGAAUCUCUCACAAACCCACAUUAGACCCAAUAUAAAUAAAUUGUAAAACUAGUUUAAUUUAUGUAUGCUCCAUUUUAUUUGAGGAAAAUAUAUGCAAUAAAGUACAUUCACAGUUAAAUCAAUGUCUUACUGCCUGUAGCUCAGGACCUGAAGCAAGGAUAUUAAUAUUAUUGAUACCAUUUGA